GACGAACGCUGGCGGCGUGCUUAACACAUGCAAGUCGAACGGUGAAGCGCCUUCCUUUUUGGUGGGUGUGGAUGAGUGGCGAACGGGUGAGUAACACGUGAGUAACCUGCCCCCUUCUUCUGGAUAACCGCAUGAAAGUGUGGCUAAUACGGGAUAUUCUGGGUCUGUCGCAUGAUGGGUCUGGGAAAGAUAUUGUUUCGGUGGGGGAUGGGCUCGCGGCCUAUCAGCUUGUUGGGGGGGGGAUGGCCUACCAAGGCGGUGAGGGGUAGCCGGCCUGGGAGGGUGGGCGGGGAGAGGGGGACGGGGAGGCGGGCGAGACUGGGAGGGGAGGCGGGGGGGGGGGAGAUGGGACGGGGGGGGGGAGGGUGAUGCGGGGAGGGGGGGUGGGGGAGGGGGGCGGGCGGGUUGUGAACGUCUUUCGCCAGUGAAGCAGGCCUGCCUCGUUUGUGGGUGGGUUGACGGUAGCUGGAGAAGAAGCGCCGGCUAACUACGUG
rnacentral:rRNA from 1 species